UACAUGAGUGGCAAGCGUUAUCCCCUAUGGUUGGGUGUUAAAUAUCCUUAGAUUUUCAUCCCCAAUUAAGGUGGGGUAUGAUCAAAAGUAGGUUUAUGGAGUUUUUACUUUAAGUAUUUGUAGGGGUAAAAUCCAACGAAAAAUAUUAAAAGUCUGAAUAUGAAGAUAUAAAAUCACAUUUAUCUAAUAAUUUAGGGAUGAAAGUAGGGGUAGUGACGAGGAUUUGGGACCCUUUUAAUCUCUACUGUAAAUUAUGAUUGUUAAAAAGUUUAGGUAAGCUAACGUUAAAAUAAUCUACCUGGGGCCUAAAACCGCAAGGUUAAAACUUAAAAAAAUUGGCGGGACUUUAGAAACGGUGGAACAUGUGAUUUAAUUCGGUAAUCCUCGGAAAAUAUUACUAGAAUGAAAAGCUUAUUCUUUUUAAUUUAAGUUUAAAAUAGUAAAGUUUUUUAAGUAUUGCAUGGCUAUCGUCGGUUCGUGCUGUGAAGUGUAGUGUUUGGUCAUCAAAACGAACGCAACUCUAUAAUUCGUAUUUUUUAUGAAUUAAAACUUAAGACUGAAGUUAAGUCUUUAUGAUCUAUGUAUUCUAGGCUACACACGUGUUAUAAAGGUAAAAACAAUAUGUAACGCGAGUUAACACUCAAGUUAAUCAUAAAAAAUUACCAUAGUUCGGAUUAUUGUUUUUAGUCAACAAUAUAAAGACAAAAUCGUUAGUAAUCACAAAAUAGGAUGUUGUGGUGAAAGUACACAUAAGUUUGCACACACUGCCCAUCACGCUCAGAGAGUUGUUUUUAUUUAAAAUAUGAUAAAUGUCAUAUACAUAUUUGUGUUGAGAUCUAAUCAUACG
rnacentral:rRNA from 1 species